CAGCCGCCGCGGUAAUACGUAGGGUGCGAGCGUUAAUCGGAAUUACUGGGCGUAAAGCGUGCGCAGGCGGUUUUGUAAGACAGGCGUGAAAUCCCCGGGCUCAACCUGGGAAUGGCGCUUGUGACUGCCAAGCUAGAGUGCGGCAGAGGAGGAUGGAAUUCCGCGUGUAGCAGUGAAAUGCGUAGAUAUGCGGAGGAACACCGAUGGCGAAGGCAAUCCCCUGGGGCUGCACUGACGCUCAUGCACGAAAGCGUGGGGAGCAAACAGGAUUAGAUACCCCGGUAGUCCCUGUCUCUUAUAC
rnacentral:rRNA from 1 species